rnacentral:rRNA from 1 species
AGCAAUACAGCAGUGGCAGACGGGUGAGUAACACGUGGGAACCUUCCUAGGGGUACGGAACAACUCAGGGAAACUUGAGCUAAUACCGUAUACGUCCGUGAGGAGAAAGAUUUAUCGCCCUUAGACGGGCCCGCGUCGGAUUAGGUAGUUGGUGGGGUAACGGCCUACCAAGCCUACGAUCCGUAGCUGAUCUGAGAGGAUGAUCAGCCACACUGGGACUGAGACACGGCCCAGACUCCUACGGGAGGCAGCAGUGGGGAAUCUUGGACAAUGGGCGCAAGCCUGAUCCAGCCAUGCCGCGUGAGUGAAGAAGGCCUUAGGG